rnacentral:misc_RNA from 1 species
GAAAAUUCUCGAAGCAAAACGCUUCAGAAAACACUGUGUGCACUGUUUUUCUGUCUCUGGCAGGACCAGGGAGCAGCGAUGCUCCCUCCCCCUGCCAAAGGAGGUGGGAGCUGCCCUUUUUUCGGGCGACUUCCAUUCUGAUUUGAACAACCCUAUGUUUGUUUUCAAUUUGUCUGAAUAAUUCUUCACCUAGUGUGAGAAAUUGAAAAA